ensembl:misc_RNA
CUGGAGAAUUUAGUCACAAAGUCUUUGGCUUAUUUACCGAACAAUUACAACCCCAGCACUGGCAGUACAAAAUCCUCUACAGUAUCCUGUUAAUGCACUUCAAUCCUGACCUGAAAGAACUUUUAUGGCUGACAGGAUAGUUUAAUUUUCAUACCCAUUCAAUCUUUGGCCUUU